rnacentral:rRNA from 1 species
CCCUAUGGGGUGCAGCAGGCGUGAGAGAAGAGAGGUUGCAUAUUCGGGAUACGUCAAAUAGGCGGCAUUUGGAUGCGGUUGGGGAGACGAUGAUUAUUAAUAUGGGACCUUCGCAUCCGAGUACGCACGGAGUGUUGCAAUUGGUAUUGGAGUUGGAUGGAGAGAUGAUUGUGAGCGCGAAGCCUGAGAUUGGGUAUUUGCAUCGUGGGGACGAGAAGAUCGCGGAGAAUAUGACGUGGAAUCAGUUUGUGCCUUAUACGGAUCGGUUGGAUUAUCUGGCGCCGUUAGCGAAUAACGUGGCGUACGCGUGCGCUGUGGAAAAAUUAAUGGGGUAUGAAAUACCGAUUCGAGCAAAGGUGAGCAGGGUGAUUUGUUGUGAAUGGGCGGGAGGGC